UUUCCUUUUGCAGAUACAUACAAAAUGCUCGAGGACUAGCAUGAGCUAAGUAGGGGGAUUUGAUUAAAUGCUAAAAUUACAUAUUUUAUGUAAUUAAAUUGGUUAAUUUAUGAGAGUGCACCACUGAUUUUUCCAUGUUUAUGUUGAAUUUUGUGCAGGGGCGCAAUUUGGGGCUAAAUAGAAGAAAAAGAAAAUAAUUGGGCUAGAUUGAAGAAAGAAGCAAAGAAGAAGGACCAAAGCAGAAUUUUUCCAAGAUGUAAUUAGAUGAAAUUUUUGUUGACUUAGUGGGAGAUUAUGUUGAGAUUUUUAUAUCAUGGAUUAUUUUAUUUCUUUGAUUUUCUAUAG
rnacentral:lncRNA from 1 species